rnacentral:rRNA from 1 species
AGGAUAAACGCUGGCGGCGUGCCUAACACAUGCAAGUCGAACGCUCUUUUUCCUCGCAAGAGGGGGGAGGGAGUGGCGGACGGGUGAGGAACACAUGGGUGACCUACCUUUCAGUGAGGAAUACCGGCGAGAAAUCGCCGACAAGACCGCAUGAGCUUCCCUCGGUGAGCGAGGGAAGGAAAGCUCUCUUUCGUGAGAACGGAGGGGGGCGCUGGAAGAUGGGCCUGUGGCCGAUUAGCUAGUUGGUGAGGUAACGGCUCACCAAGGCGACGAUCGGUAGCUGGUCUGAGAGGACGAUCAGCCACACUGGGAUUGAGAACGGCCCAGACUCCUACGGGGGGCAGCAGUGAGGAAUUUUCCGCAAUGGGCGCAAGCCUGACGGAGCAACGCCGCGUGCAGGAGACGGUUUUUCGGAUCGUAAACUGACUUUUCUCGGGGACGAGAACGGACGGUACCCGAGGAAUCAGCCCCGGCUAACUACGCGCCAGCAGCCGCGGU